rnacentral:tRNA from 1 species
AUCUCUUGAGUAUGCUUAUAGUACAGUUGCCUUCCACGCAGAAAGAUUAAGAGAACUUAAAGGAGAUA